rnacentral:rRNA from 1 species
GGUUAAGCGACUAAGCGUACACGGUGGAUGCCCUGGCAGUCAGAGGCGAUGAAGGACGUGCUAAUCUGCGAAAAGCGUCGGUAAGGUGAUAUGAACCGUUAUAACCGGCGAUGUCCGAAUGGGGAAACCCAGUGCAAUUCGUUGCACUAUCGUUAACUGAAUACAUAGGUUAACGAGGCGAACCGGGGGAACUGAAACAUCUAAGUACCCCGAGGAAAAGAAAUCAACCGAGAUUCCCCCAGUAGCGGCGAGCGAACGGGGAGCAGCCCAGAGUCUGAAUCAGCUUGUGUGUUAGUGGAACGGUCUGGAAAGUCCGACGGUACAGGGUGAUAGUCCCGUACACCAAAAUGCACAGGUUGUGAACUCGAAGAGUAGGGCGGGACACGUGGUAUCCUGUCUGAAUAUGGGGGACCAUCCUCCAAGGCUAAAUACUCCUGACUGACCGAUAGUGAACCAGUACCGUGAGGGAAAGGCGAAAAGAACCCCGGCGAGGGGAGUGAAAAAGAACCUGAAACCGUGUACGUACAAGCAGUGGGAGCACCUUCGGGUGUGACUGCGUACCUUUUGUAUAAUGGGUCAGCGACUUAUAUUCUGUAGCAAGGUUAACCGUAUAGGGGAGCCGCAGGGAAACCGAGUCUUAACUGGGCGUUAAGUUGCAGGGUAUAGACCCGAAACCCGGUGAUCUAGCCAUGGGCAGGUUGAAGGUUGGGUAACACUAACUGGAGGACCGAACCGACUAAUGUUGAAAAAUUAGCGGAUGACUUGUGGCUGGGGGUGAAAGGCCAAUCAAACCGGGAGAUAGCUGGUUCUCCCCGAAAGCUAUUUAGGUAGCGCCUCGUGAACUCAUCUUCGGGGGUAGAGCACUGUUUCGGCUAGGGGGUCAUCCCGACUUACCAACCCGAUGCAAACUACGAAUACCGAAGAAUGUUAUCACGGGAGACACACGGCGGGUGCUAACGUCCGUCGUGAAGAGGGAAACAACCCAGACCGCCAGCUAAGGUCCCAAAGUCAUGGUUAAGUGGGAAACGAUGUGGGAAGGCACAGACAGCCAGGAUGUUGGCUUAGAAGCAGCCAUCAUUUAAAGAAAGCGUAAUAGCUCACUGGUCGAGUCGGCCUGCGCGGAAGAUGUAACGGGGCUAAACCAUGCACCGAAGCUGCGGCAGCGACACUAUGUGUUGUUGGGUAGGGGAGCGUUCUGUAAGCCUGCGAAGGUGACCUGUGAGGGUUGCUGGAGGUAUCAGAAGUGCGAAUGCUGACAUAAGUAACGAUAAAGCGGGUGAAAAGCCCGCUCGCCGGAAGACCAAGGGUUCCUGUCCAACGUUAAUCGGGGCAGGGUGAGUCGACCCCUAAGGCGAGGCCGAAAGGCGUAGUCGAUGGGAAACAGGUUAAUAUUCCUGUACUUGGUGUUACUGCGAAGGGGGGACGGAGAAGGCUAUGUUAGCCGGGCGACGGUUGUCCCGGUUUAAGCAUGUAGGCUGGUUGUCCAGGCAAAUCCGGAUAAUCAAGGCUGAGGUGUGAUGACGAGGCACUACGGUGCUGAAGUAACAAAUGCCCUGCUUCCAGGAAAAGCCUCUAAGCAUCAGGUAACAUUAAAUCGUACCCCAAACCGACACAGGUGGUCAGGUAGAGAAUACCAAGGCGCUUGAGAGAACUCGGGUGAAGGAACUAGGCAAAAUGGUGCCGUAACUUCGGGAGAAGGCACGCUGGUGUGUAGGUGAAGCCCCUGCGGGUGGAGCUGAGACCAGUCGAAGAUACCAGCUGGCUGCAACUGUUUAUUAAAAACACAGCACUGUGCAAACACGAAAGUGGACGUAUACGGUGUGACGCCUGCCCGGUGCCGGAAGGUUAAUUGAUGGGGUUAUCCGUAAGGAGAAGCUCUUGAUCGAAGCCCCGGUAAACGGCGGCCGUAACUAUAACGGUCCUAAGGUAGCGAAAUUCCUUGUCGGGUAAGUUCCGACCUGCACGAAUGGCGUAAUGAUGGCCAGGCUGUCUCCACCCGAGACUCAGUGAAAUUGAACUCGCUGUGAAGAUGCAGUGUACCCGCGGCAAGACGGAAAGACCCCGUGAACCUUUACUAUAGCUUGACACUGAACAUUGAGCCUUGAUGUGUAGGAUAGGUGGGAGGCUUUGAAGCGUGGACGCCAGUCUGCGUGGAGCCAACCUUGAAAUACCACCCUUUAAUGUUUGAUGUUCUAACGUUGGCCCCUGACCGGGGUUGCGGACAGUGUCUGGUGGGUAGUUUGACUGGGGCGGUCUCCUCCCAAAGCGUAACGGAGGAGCACGAAGGUUAGCUAAUCCUGGUCGGACAUCAGGAGGUUAGUGCAAUGGCAUAAGCUAGCUUGACUGCGAGCGUGACGGCGCGAGCAGGUGCGAAAGCAGGUCAUAGUGAUCCGGUGGUUCUGAAUGGAAGGGCCAUCGCUCAACGGAUAAAAGGUACUCCGGGGAUAACAGGCUGAUACCGCCCAAGAGUUCAUAUCGACGGCGGUGUUUGGCACCUCGAUGUCGGCUCAUCACAUCCUGGGGCUGAAGUAGGUCCCAAGGGUAUGGCUGUUCGCCAUUUAAAGUGGUACGCGAGCUGGGUUUAGAACGUCGUGAGACAGUUCGGUCCCUAUCUGCCGUGGGCGCUGGAGAAUUGAGGGGGGCUGCUCCUAGUACGAGAGGACCGGAGUGGACGCAUCACUGGUGUUCGGGUUGUCAUGCCAAUGGCACUGCCCGGUAGCUAAAUGCGGAAGAGAUAAGUGCUGAAAGCAUCUAAGCACGAAACUUGCCCCGAGAUGAGUUCUCCCUGAGACUUUAAGUCUCCUGAAGGAACGUUGAAGACGACGACGUUGAUAGGCCGGGUGUGUAAGCGCAGCGAUGCGUUGAGCUAACCGGUACUAAUGAACCGUGAGGCUUAACCUU